rnacentral:rRNA from 1 species
GAUGAACGCUAGCGGAAGGCUUAAUACAUGCAAGUCGAGCGGUAGGUGGCUUCGGCCAUUGAGAGCGGCGCACGGGUGAGUAACGCGUACAUGACCUGCCUGUCAGAAGGGGAUAGCCCUGGGAAACUGGGAUUAAUACCCUAUGGUAUUGAUAUUAUGAAUGAUAUCAAUUAAAGUUGAGGCGCUGACAGAUGGAUGUGCGUCUGAUUAGCUAGUUGGUAGGGUAACGGCCUACCAAGGCGACGAUCAGUAGGGGGCGUGAGAGCGUGGUCCGCCACACUGGUACUGAGACACCGACCCGACUCCUACGGGAGGCAGCAGUAAGGAAUAUUGGGCAAUGCCCGCAAGGGUGAGCCAGCCAUUCCGCGUGGAGGAUGAAGGCCCUAUGGGUUGUAAACUUCUUUUAGAUGGGAAGAAAAUGCUAGAUGUAUCUGGUACUGACGGUACCAUCAGAAUAAGCACCGGCUAACUCCGUGCCAGCCGCCGCAGUAAUAC